rnacentral:rRNA from 1 species
UUGACAUGGGGGCACUCAUCAUUAGCCGGUGAGUGAUGAAGGCCCUAGGGUUGUAAAACUCUUUCGGCGGGGACGAUAAUGACGGUACCCGCAGAAGAAGCUCCGGCUAACUUCGUGCCAGCAGCCGCGGUAAUACGAAGGGGGCUAGCGUUGUUCGGAAUUACUGGGCGUAAAGCGCGCGCAGGCGGUCCUUCAAGUCAGGGGUGAAAGCCCAGAGCUCAACUCUGGAACUGCCUUUGAGACUGUAGGACUUGGGUACGGGAGAGGUGAGUGGAAUUCCGAGUGUAGAGGUGAAAUUCGUAGAUAUUCGGAAGAACACCAGUGGCGAAGGCGGCUCACUGGCCCGCUACCGACGCUCAGGCGCGACAGCGUGGGGAGCAAACAGGAUUAGAUACCCUGGUAGUCCACGCCGUAAACGAUGGAUGCUAGCCGUUGGUAAGCAUGCUUAUCAGUGGCGCAGCUAACGCAUUAAGCAUCCCGCCUGGGGAGUACGGACGCAAGGUUGAAACUUAGAGGAAUUGACGGGGGCCCGAACAAGCGGUGGAGCAUGUGGUUUAAUUCGACGCAACGCGCAGAACCUUAACAGGUCUUGACAUCCCGUGCUAAGCCAGAGAUGGGUGGACCCGCAAGGGGCCGCGGGAG